rnacentral:rRNA from 1 species
GAUGAACGCUGGCGGCGUGCCUAAUACAUGCAAGUCGAGCGAACGGACGAGAAGCUUGCUUCUCUGAUGUUAGCGGCGGACGGGUGAGUAACACGUGGAUAACCUACCUAUAAGACUGGGAUAACUUCGGGAAACCGGAGCUAAUACCGGAUAAUAUUUUGAACCGCAUGGUUCAAAAGUGAAAGACGGUCUUGCUGUCACUUAUAGAUGGAUCCGCGCUGCAUUAGCUAGUUGGUAAGGUAACGGCUUACCAAGGCAACGAUGCAUAGCCGACCUGAGAGGGUGAUCGGCCACACUGGAACUGAGACACGGUCCAGACUCCUACGGGAGGCAGCAGUAGGGAAUCUUCCGCAAUGGGCGAAAGCCUGACGGAGCAACGCCGCGUGAGUGAUGAAGGUCUUCGGAUCGUAAAACUCUGUUAUUAGGGAAGAACAUAUGUGUAAGUAACUGUGCACAUCUUGACGGUACCUAAUCAGAAAGCCACGGCUAACUACGUGCCAGCAGCCGCGGUAAUACGUAGGUGGCAAGCGUUAUCCGGAAUUAUUGGGCGUAAAGCGCGCGUAGGCGGUUUUUUAAGUCUGAUGUGAAAGCCCACGGCUCAACCGUGGAGGGUCAUUGGAAACUGGAAAACUUGAGUGCAGAAGAGGAAAGUGGAAUUCCAUGUGUAGCGGUGAAAUGCGCAGAGAUAUGGAGGAACACCAGUGGCGAAGGCGACUUUCUGGUCUGUAACUGACGCUGAUGUGCGAAAGCGUGGGGAUCAAACAGGAUUAGAUACCCUGGUAGUCCACGCCGUAAACGAUGAGUGCUAAGUGUUAGGGGGUUUCCGCCCCUUAGUGCUGCAGCUAACGCAUUAAGCACUCCGCCUGGGGAGUACGACCGCAAGGUUGAAACUCAAAGGAAUUGACGGGGACCCGCACAAGCGGUGGAGCAUGUGGUUUAAUUCGAAGCAACGCGAAGAACCUUACCAAAUCUUGACAUCCUUUGACAACUCUAGAGAUAGAGCCUUCCCCUUCGGGGGACAAAGUGACAGGUGGUGCAUAGUUGUCGUCGGCUCGUGUCGUGAGAUGUUGGGUUAAGUCCCGCAACGAGCGCAACCCUUAAGCUUAGUUGCCAUCAUUAAGUUGGGCACUCUAAGUUGACUGCCGGUGACAAACCGGAGGAAGGUGGGGAUGACGUCAAAUCAUCAUGCCCCUUAUGAUUUGGGCUACACACGUGCUACAAUGGACAAUACAAAGGGCAGCGAAACCGCGAGGUCAAGCAAAUCCCAUAAAGUUGUUCUCAGUUCGGAUUGUAGUCUGCAACUCGACUACAUGAAGCUGGAAUCGCUAGUAAUCGUAGAUCAGCAUGCUACGGUGAAUACGUUCCCGGGUCU